rnacentral:rRNA from 1 species
UACGUAGGGUGCAAGCGUUAAUCGGAAUUACUGGGCGUAAAGCGUGCGCAGGCGGUUAUGGAGAAAGAUGUGAAAUGCCCGGGCUUAACCUGGGAACUGCAUUUGUGACUGCAUGGCUAGAGUUUGGCAGAGGGGGGUAGAAUUCCACGUGUAGCAGUGAAAUGCGUAGAUAUGUGGAGGAACACCGAUGGCGAAGGCAGCCCCCUGGGUCAAGACUGACGCUCAUGCACGAAAGCGUGGGGAGCAAACAGG